GCCGGAGGAGCUCGCGGCCUAUCAGCUUGUUGGUAGGGUAACGGCCUACCAAGGCUAUGACGGGUAGCUGGCGUGAGAGCGCGAUCAGCCACACUGGGACUGAGACACGGCCCAGACUCCUACGGGAGGCAGCAGUGGGGAAUAUUGCGCAAUGGGCGAAAGCCUGACGCAGCGACGCCGCGUGGGGGAGGAAGGCCCUAGGGUUGUAAACCCCUGUCAGACGGGACGAACCGUGUGUCGGCAAAUACCCGACAUGCCUGACGGUACCGUCAGAGGAAGCUCCGGCUAACUCCGUGCCAGCAGCCGCGGUAAUACGGAGGGAGCGAGCGUUGUUCGGAAUUACUGGGCGUAAAGGGCGCGUAGGCGGCCGAGUAAGUCGCGUGUGAAAGGCCGGGGCUCAACCCCGAGCACUGCACGCGA
rnacentral:rRNA from 1 species